ensembl:lncRNA
ACGAGUAACCUUAUUAGAAUAAAUAAAUAUAUCUAAAUAAAAAACAAGGUUUCUGAGGCUGUGUAGACAAACUGUGAGGAAGGAGUUCAAAGGUAAACGUUGCCUAGCAACAAAAAGUCGCAACGUUCAACCGCCAUCCAUCAAUCAUGUCGCUGCAUCCACACAGGACCAAAGUCCAUUUAGUGGUGGUCAGUGUGUGUGUGUGUGUGUGUGUGUGCGUGUGUGUGUGUGCAUGUGUGUGUGUGUGUGCAUGUGUGUGUGUGUGUGUGGUUCUCAGUGAGUGUUUAGUGUGUCCAGAUCAAAAGAAACUAAAAAAACGAAUGUUAUCUGAGUAAACGUGACCUCGCCGUGACCUUUGACCUUUCCAUGGCCUCUUUUUUGCCGCCGCCUGUUAAGAGUUCGGGGAGAAUCCUAUAAAACGUGUUGACAGUCAGACGUUAAGAUCUUUGUUUAACUGCGAUUGGUCUGAAGAUUAGUGGGCGUCGUCUUGUUUAAAGGGACAGUUCACCCCAAAGAACGUCUUCCUGUUCAGCGGAGGAGACGCGUCGGACGGAGGGAUGGUCCCCGGGACCACACCCACUUCCUGUCACCCGCUCACGGGACGACCUCGACUUUGGAAAGAGCAACGAUGCUGGAAAGUGGCAGAAGGUCGUAGCGUUCCUCCCCCUCCGCCUGACCCUCCACCGGCCUUCCUCCCCCUCCGCCUGCUUCCAGCCCGUAGUCUUAAUUCUCUCCUCAGUACCGAACCCGGAGGAGCCUCGUGUCGACGUCGUCAGAGAUCUGACACACGAGAGUUGAAACAAACUGCGGCCGAUUGAACCCCGGGAAUCUCAAUCAGCUGUUUGACGCAAGAUGCUUUAAGGAAAACGAAGGUAGAGCAGAAGAUAGAAGAGACGCGUUUUAAUGCAAACGACGAUCCGUGUCCAUAUGAAACAUGCACGCGGUAUAAAAGGUGCACACGGUAUGAGACAUGUAUGUGUUGUGAUGUACGCUGG